rnacentral:misc_RNA from 1 species
UGAUUAGAAAUGGGGAUGGAACUUUCCGUUAUAAGAAGUAACUACAUUUAAAUUGAAAAGACUAAAAAUGGUAAGAAAUUGACUAUUGAAGAUAAAAGUUAUGAUUUCUAAACAUCUUAUGAAAAAACAUGGAUCUUGGGUUAUAAAAUUUAGUUGAAUUGAGCAACAUUCAUAACAGACAGUAAAGUCAUUGUGAAACAACUUACAAUUACUGCUUCAAAGUUUUACAAGUUCAUAUUAAAUUACUAAACCAAUGGACUAAUGUA